rnacentral:lncRNA from 1 species
UUCCUGUAAAUAUUGCAUAGACUUUAGUCCAGAUUUUAGUACAUUAUCCUGUGUAAUAAAUUUCUAUCUUUUAUAAAUUAACUUUUGGUAUUUAGAAAUACAUAUUUUGGGGUGAAGUCAAUUCUAUGGUAUUUCCUAGCUUACUAUCUUCCUCAUGGAGAAAUAGAAAACACAAAUAAUCCUUAGUUGAAAUAUAAACAUUUCAGUUUUAGUGAAGUGUACUAUCACCAACUUGUAAUGGUGUUACAAGUCAUCAUUCUGCAUACACCAGAGUGACCCAAAAUGCUCCACAGUCUAGGUAAACUGCAGGAGUAAGCUUAAGGUUAUUUAACUUCCAAACCCCAGAUCUCUGCUCUGAUGGUCACUUGAAAUUCUACAAUUUCAAACACCUCUGAAGACAUUCAGUUAAGGCCUCUGGCCUCUAGAUGGCCCUCUAUCUUUUGGGAAUGCCUUAAAGUCCAUUUCAUGAGGGAAAGUUGAAGCCAGUGAUCUUUCUGGGAUAGCACAAGUUACCCUGUAUCUUUGCUCAAGGAAUUCUUUCUGUAGGCUUCCUAGAGUAUACCAGAAUUAAAUUUUUCUCCCCUUUGAUGAGUCUCUCCAAAGCAAGGAGUAAUACCUG